rnacentral:rRNA from 1 species
AGUGAACGCUGGCGGCAGGCCUAACACAUGCAAGUCGAACGGCAGCACAGGGGAGCUUGCUCCCUGGGUGGCGAGUGGCGGACGGGUGAGGAAUACAUCGGAAUCUACCCUUUCGUGGGGGAUAACGUAGGGAAACUUACGCUAAUACCGCAUACGAUCGGAGGAUGAAAGCAGGGGACCGCAAGGCCUUGCGCGAUUGGAGGAGCCGAUGUCCGAUUAGCUAGUUGGCGGGGUAAAGGCCCACCAAGGCGACGAUCGGUAGCUGGUCUGAGAGGAUGAUCAGCCACACUGGAACUGAGACACGGUCCAGACUCCUACGGGAGGCAGCAGUGGGGAAUAUUGGACAAUGGGCGCAAGCCUGAUCCAGCCAUGCCGCGUGUGUGAAGAAGGCCUUCGGGUUGUAAAGCACUUUUGUUGGGAAAGAAAACCUGUCGGCUAAUACCCGGCUGGGAUGACGGUACCCAAAGAAUAAGCACCGGCUAACUUCGUGCCAGCAGCCGCAGUAAGAC